AUGUCAAUUGCAGAAUUCAGUGAAUCAUCGAAUCUUUGAACGCACCUUGCGCUCCUUGGUAUUCUGAGGAGCAUGCCUGUUUGAGUGUCAUU
rnacentral:rRNA from 1 species